GGCAGCCACUUCUGUAUCCCACCCUGCCAUCCAAACCCAGCCCAGACUGUGACCCGCGGAUGGAGACAGAACUCCAAGGAUAUUGUACCUGUGGCCAAUUCAACAUUUCCAGGGGAUUUCUGCAUUUAUCAGUUUUAGGACCAAGGAAAAGGCAUCACAGGAUCUCCAGGAUCUUCACUGCAAAUCUUGCUGCCACUUGCUCUAAAGUUUUAGGACCAAGGAAAAGGCAUCACAGGA